GGAACCCUGAAUGAGGAGAUCAGCAAAUAUACGACAGCAUUUGAUAAAAUUCAAUUUCCCAUUCUAGUUCCCUUGGGGAGUAGAGGGAAUCAACAUGUGUAGAAAUGGUCACAGUUCAAAGAAAUAAAUUACCUUCUGGCUUCUAGUAUAAGACAGUACAUUACAAUCAUUCAAAGAGGAGAUCGUUUUGAGCAAAAUGAAGCGGGCAGAGCUGAUCGAUAAAAAAAGACAGCAACUCAACUAAGCUGCUAAGAACCCCAUAAACAGAAAAUAACAUACAACUGCACAAACACUUAGCACAUGAUGACUGACCAAACUUCAGGGGAAAACGGUACCUUUGAGCCUUAUCGAAAGGGGCUUCUUCGAAAACAACCCAAGAACAACCAAUGGCUCCAAGAAAUACCCAAUUGCUCGACUUACACCACAAUCGUGCACAAGGUGUCUCCCACCCAUCACAAUCCCAGGCUUGUAUUGAAACUUUGUUCCUGCCACAUAAAAUAUAUCCCUCAAAAAUCAAACCCAUGACAAGCUAACAACAAAAAAACAAAUGGGGUGGUUCGUUUUACCGGUUUCAUUGAUUUUGACAACACAGUCAUCAGAAAUCUUCUCGAGGAGGCGGAGGAGAGAGACCUCAUGGGGGCGUAGGCCGGGCAUCAUGUCAUUGGCUCGAAUGUCCUCGACUUGGACAGGAGUGGCGGAAA